CAUGAGCCCUGACUCCAAAGCCCACGUUCUUUCCACUGAGCCACGCUGCUUCUCCUGAUCAAGCACACUGACACAUUUCCUCUGCAGAAGCUGUUCCAGCUCCAACCUCAGUGAACCUUCAAACCCAUGGGUUCAAAUGCUUCCCCAUUUGGCUGCUGCCUCACUUGUGCUCAUGGAAAAGACAGUGUGGGAUCACCCUCCCUAGAGGCCAUAAAGAACGGCACUAAUCUGGAGAUACUCUGUCCGAAACCUACUCCUGGAAAGCACCACUGAAUGGUCAUGGUUUAUGGGAAAUUACCCUGUCUGUUGGGUUGAGGUAAUUCAAUAACGUGGAUUUACUCACUGUUGAACACUGGAAGUCCUGUUGAAAAAACCCUUUCUUUCUGGUAUUAGAAUAGUUUCAUACUCAUACUCAUAGUUUCAGGCAAAACCCACAUGAA